rnacentral:tRNA from 2 species
CCCCUGAUGGUGUAGUUGGUUUAUCACGUCUGACUGUAAUGUUUCUUGCUAUCAGAAGGUCCGCGGAUCGACUCCGCGUCGGGGGA